GGUGGGGUUCCCGAGCGGCCAAAGGGAUCAGACUGUAAAUCUGACGGCGGAGCCUUCGGAGGUUCGAAUCCUCCCCCCACCACCA
rnacentral:tRNA from 1 species